rnacentral:rRNA from 1 species
CCUACGGGUGGCAGCAGUGGGGGAUAUUGCACAAUGGGGGAAACCCUGAUGCAGCGACGCCGCGUGUGGGAAGACGGUCCUCUGGAUUGUAAACCACUGUCUCCAGGGACGAAGAUGACGGUAUCUGGGGAGGAAGCUCCGGCUAACUACGUGCGAGCAGCCGCGGAAAUACGUGGGGAGCGAGCGUUGUCCGGAAUUAGUGGGUGUAAAGGGAGCGUAGGGGGGACUGAGGGUGUGGUGAAAAAUCUACCGCCUAAAUCGGUAGCCGCACUCAAAACUGCUGUUCUUGAGUGAAGUAGAGGAAGGGGGAAUUCCUAGUGUAGCGGUGGAAUGCGUAGAUAUUAGGAGGAACACCAGUGGCGAAGGCGACCUGCUGGGCUGUUACUGACGCUGAGGCUCGAAAGUGUGGGGAGCAAACAGGAUUAGAUACCCGGGUAGUC